rnacentral:rRNA from 1 species
GACGGAGGGUGCAAGCGUUGUUCGGAUUGACUGGGCGGAAAGGGCGUGUAGGCGGUCGGCCAAGUCUGAUGUGAAAGCCCGAGGCUCAGCCUCGGAAGUGCGUCGGAAACUAGUCGGCUGGAGCGCGAUAGAGGAGGGUGGAAUUCCUGGUGUAGCGGUGAAAUGCGUAGAUAUCAGGAGGAACACCGGCGGCGAAGGCGGCCCUCUGGAUCGUUGCUGACGCUGAGACGCGAAAGCGUGGGGAGCAAACAGG